UGUCGGUCCCCUCGCAAUGGUCAACUGUGAACUCCGCCAGGCCCGGAAGGGAGCAACGGUAGCAGUGACACCAUGUGCCGGGGUGUGGCUGGCAGGG
rfam:Endozoicomonas numazuensis strain DSM 25634 scaffold00010, whole genome shotgun sequence.